UCUGUGAGCCUAAUUAUUUUACAAUAUGGUUUUCAGUUCGAAAUGUGACUUUGUGAAGCUAAAAGGUACCACAGAAUGUCAAACAGAAGAUUUAGAACAGCCUCAGAUGACUUUGGAUGGUAAAACUUGGACUUUUAGCUCCAAGUCACGAAAAGAUGCUUCAAGUCGAGAAGAGGACAUGCUGGAGCAGCAAGAGAGGUACAAUGGAAAGCAGAAUGGCAAGGAAAUUGAGAGCCCAUAAUGGAAAUAAGCAAUACAAGAUGAAGUCAUAGCAUUUCUGAUAAGAGUCCUUUCUGGUGCCAUUGAGAAGUUCCUGCUGAAGUUGUUUGAAUUAUGGACCUGCAUGCUGGGUUGGGGUUCAGCAGUAUGCAUGCUUUAUAUGUUCAAGGACCACAUGCACAGAAGUAGAAAUGCAUACUUUUAACCUUAUCUCAAAAGUUGCUGUGUGGACAACAUUGCACAGCCAGAAAACAUGGUUACCAAGCCAUUCACUUGAAUAAUUUUAGAAAACAAUCUAAAUAUUUCAGGAGCUCUCUGUUGUGUUUAAUUUAUCUGUGAGCCUAAUUAUUUUACAAUAUGGUUUUCAGUUCGAAACAUGACUUUGUGCAGCUAAAAGUUAAGACAGAAUGUCGAACAGAAGAAUUAGAACAGCCUCAGAUGACCUUGGAUGGUACAAGUUGGGUAAGUGAGUUGUAUUCAGAAUACCGUUUUUCUUUUUCAAGUGGGGCUGUAUAGUAAUAUUUCAGGCACCAUGAGAAAUAUCUCAAGAGCAACAGCAGGCAUAUCCACUCUGCCAACAUACCUGCAAAACUGCAGUGAACACAAAUGAAACAAUGAAUAAAUUUCACAAUUUUGAAAUGAUACAUUUUACAAAUUAGAUUUAGCUAAUCAUUUGAGUGUAUUGUCACGUGACUGCCCUAGUGAGCAUGGAAGAGAGACAACAACCUGUGCAACUUGGUUCUUUUCUCACACUGUGUGUGUUCCUGGGAAUGAACUCUGAUCAACAGGGAGGCUUGUUGUCAACCACCUAAACCCAUGAGCUCUCUUGUGUGUCUGAAAUAUACUUAUGUUAUAUAUUUUGUUGAUCAGCUAAUAACCUUAACACUGAUGUUAUCUAUUUUUGAAACUCACCCAUAGGGAUAACUUUUUAAUUAGUUUUUUUGUUUUUAUGUUUUAUUAGAUAUACUCCUUUACUUACAUUUAAGAUCUUUUUCUGCUUCCCAGUUACCUGUCCUUAAGCAUCCAUUCCCUCACUUCCCUUUCCCCCACUGGGUAGUGAACACUAUAGAAUCAUUCUUAUUGCCCCCACUCCAUACUCCGCUGCACUGUGAGUUCAACCUUGGCAAUACUAAGGGUUUUCCCCUCACUGGUGGCCCAUAAUAUUAUUCUUUGCUAAAUAUGCAGUUGGAGCCCUGGGCCAUUCCAUGUAUAGUCUUUGUGUAGUGGUUUAGUCACUGGAACCUCUGGUUGGUUGGCAUUGUUGUUGUUAUGUGGUUGCAAGUUUUGUCAACUCUCUCAAUACUUCCUCUGACUCCCCCCAUAGGGUGCCAUAUUCUCAGUUCAGUGGUUUACUGCUAGCAUUGACUUCUGCAUUGGACAUGCUCUGGAUGUGUCUCCCCAGGAGACCUAUAUUCAGCCCCUUUCAGCAUGCAUUUUCUAGCUUCAUCAAUCUCAUGCCGUUUUUGUUACCGUAUAUAAUUGGGCCAGUGUAGGGCAGGUUUUGAAGGGCCAUUCUUUGAGUCACUGCUCUAAACUUUGCUUGCAUAUCCCUUCCUAUGGAUUAUAUCCCCCCUUUUAAGAAGGAUUUGGAGCAUCUGCAUUUUGGUCAUCCUUAUUCUUGAGUUUCCUG
rnacentral:lncRNA from 1 species